rnacentral:rRNA from 1 species
UACGAGGGGAGCAAGCGUUGUUCGGAUUUACUGGGCGUAAAGGGCGCGUAGGCGGUCGUGACAAGUCACUUGUGAAAUCUCCGGGCUUAACUCGGAACGGUCAAGUGAUACUGUCGGACUAGAGUACAGAAGGGGCAACUGGAAUUCUCGGUGUAGCGGUGAAAUGCGUAGAUAUCGAGAGGAACACCUGCGGCGAAGGCGGGUUGCUGGGCUGAUACUGACGCUGAGGCACGAAGGCCAGGGGAGCAAACGGG